rnacentral:lncRNA from 1 species
AGGUUCACAGGUAAAGAGAGCAAAUUUAGAUGUCUCAAGAAUUUCUCUCAAGGAUCGAGUCUUUUUAAUCGGUGAAUCGAAACUUGAACUUUCAUCUCGAACCGGCGAUCUUGGUGGGCGAGGAUUUGGACUUUGAGGUGGACUAACAUGACCGAGUUCAUCCUCAAAAUUUGAUGCAUCGUAGAACUCCUCUUGAGAUAUCAAUUUGGACGAAUUUCCU